AAAUUUCCCUGUAUUCACUCGGCUCGUCCGUCGAUGAAGAGCGUGAUUAUCUACGUGAACUGAUUUGAAUUGCAAGACUUUGUGAACAUCGACACAUUAAACGCACAGUGCCGCCCCGGGUCCCAGCGUUUCAGUGCCACGUCCGGUCGAGAGGUA
rnacentral:rRNA from 1 species